rnacentral:lncRNA from 1 species
AACCAUUAAAGAAUUAGGUGUUCUAUCAUUUUAAUCAGGGUAUAGGAUUACAUCUCACAUUCCAGUGUUUGAACACGUAAACAAGGCAGUCCUCUACCUUUUUUUUUUACAAGGGAAAAAGUAGGAGCACAAUUUUGUGGUUGUUGUUGAUAACAAGCCGUUUUCUUUGUAGUAAUGGUGCAAGUAUGACGGUCAUGAACCUGUGCUCAGUGUGUCCCCCACAUUUAGGGGCUUCCGUAGUGAAGGAACCAUUGCAACAAUUAUCUGGGCGAUUUUUUUUUCUUCUUCUCGUAAAAUUAAAAUUCCAGGUCGCAGAGCAAAAAUAUUUAGGUGCAUAUACGCUAAUGCAACUCCGUGCAGCACUUGUGGAUUUGACAGCUCCGACGACGUGCGGAUCUGAUUGAAUCGGGACCUUAAUGCUUUUUUACACUAUUGGAAUGCGCUUUUUCAUAUCAUUAUUGUUGUUGGGACAGCCUGAGGUACCUAAAGCUGUGAAUCUGAAGUGUUAAUUUGGGAUUAUAAUUUCUCCAAGUAGGGUCCCCUCCAUUUUCUAGUGUCAAUUUGGAAUUGUUUGCAGAAAAAGUUUGUGAACCCGACACAGGAGUAGAGCAGGAUUACUGACCGGACAUGCAGGGCGCUUGCCUGACCUCCAGGGGGCCCCCCAACCCAAAGAAUACAAUACAAAUCAGACUUUGAACACGUCAUAAAAACAUGGCAAAAUGUGUAGAAUUACAGGAUUUUUUAUUUUACAAAAUUAAAACGUUUUUCCCAAAACAAAUCUGGCGCCCAUUCCGGAUGUGGUGUUUUUUUGUUGAUAAGACUAGAAUUCAUGUAAAACUCAAAGACUGUGGUAUAAUCAGGUAAAACAUGCCCUCUGAAAGACGAAAUGUUCACAGAUCUGAAAUUAUUCGAUCUAGCCUAUCAGAGGGUACAUUUCUAGGGUUUCCACUCUUAAGACACGUUAAAAAAUUCCACGUUUCCAUGAGAACUGCCAAACACUUACAGUGCAAUAAAAUGUGGGGGGAAAAAAUGACAAAAAAAUAAAUGUAAUGAUCAUUGAAUUUUCAAAACGUAAUCCAUACUGUAUGUCAAAUUCCCUGAUCGUAUCAAAUAUUGUAUUACAUUCUCUGUAUUAAACUCCCUGUACACAAGUCCCUUGGAGGUUAAGGGCUGGGGGUUGUCUCUGGACAAGGUCCUGUUAUCCUUCUCCUGGAAGCACGGUCCCUCUCCCAGGACUUUUAUAUUAUCUAGAGAGUGGACUUCAAUGUACUGGCUACAUCCUGAAGUCUUUAUAACCAUAAUCUAAUCAGGAUUACAAUUCUGCAUCCACCAUGAUGAAAACUGAAGCCCAGAACAAAGACUGACAGUUCCAACAACAGAGACCAACAUGUCAGAAGGCCUAACAGAAGAGAAAUGAAGAUGAGCUGGCUGUAUUAUUCUGUUACACAACCUGGCAGUCCCUCAUAACAGAUCAGUCUAUUUCCUGUAACCUCACAACCAGUUAGAGAGUAGUCUGUCCACCGUGUGUGGUGAGUCUGAUGAACAUUUGUAUUCCUGUUGUAGUAAAUGUUCAGAUUAGUCAGUCCAUGGCAUGGAGUUCAAAGACAACCAGUCUGACAGGAAAUUAGUGUGGCUGAAGGUGCAACGGUGGUGUCCAACAUCCUCAGAGCAAAUCCACAGGUUGAAGAUGGAGACAGACUUCAUGUCCAUCUUGUAUGGAAAUAGAGGAUCUGUCAAUAAAAUGAGGAGACAAAUUAUACAUCCACAGUGGCAAUCAAGUUUCUGGAGGUAACAAAACAACAAAAAAGACACUUGUGAUUAAAAUAAUGAUUUAAUUUGUCACCUGAAGGAUAUAAAGGAAUUAAUUGUUUUGGUACAAAUUCACAAUGAGUGAAAAAACCUUGUAUGGAAAUCCUGACAACAAGGCCAUCUCUAUGACAACAAGGCCAUCUCUAUGACAACAAGGCCAUCUCUAUGACAACAAGGCCAUCUCUAUGACAACAAGGUCUUCUUUAUGACAAGUGAAUGCUAGCCUGGAUUUUCAAGUCUGCCCGAGAAGUGUUUUGAUGUGUUUGAGGAUUGUGAUUCCUUUCAGGUACUGUUAGACACCUGGAUGAAGACAGAACCAUUCAGCCCAACUAUAUGGUAUCUUAAGUUGAGACACAAAUGGAAAGACAAAUAACAUGCUUAUUGAGCAUGGGAAAUGUAUUUAUAAAUACAUUUGUAUUAUUAUUACUAUUAAUAGUUCUGUGUCUGGCUUGGUAGUUAGCCUGAAAAUCUGCUAAAUCUGUGUUAAAAUAAACAAUAUCAAAAGGAAAACUGAUUUAAAAUCAACCACUUCCUGUCCCACUGGAGGCCUUCUACCUCUUACCAGUCCGUCAUUGUACACAAUCAUUUGUUCUUAAUUGACCCGCCCUGGUAAAAUAAAGGUUACAUUUAGAGAAGGACAAAAAAUAAGUGCCUCAUGAAAAUGUUUUACAGUAGCUGAUUUUAGUAAGUAUUUAGGAAUUAGUUUGCAAAAAAAACGUAAUAGUCCGCCGGAAGCUAAAUAAAAUUCAAACCCACGUUUGAAAAUUCGGUUUAAUUCUACGUUAAAUUCCCCCCCCCCCCAUCCCCCCUUGCAUAAGGACCAAGACUACAGACAAUCGACAGAAUAAAUUGAAACUUAAUUUUAUUUAACUUGUGGAAUUCCGGCGGACUAUUCAGGUUUUUUGCUAAAUAAUUCCCAGCAAUGCUAGCGUGCACAUAAAAUUCUAGCGUUGCUAAAAGCAGCUAGUUAAGGAAGACAGUUGUGUAGAUGCAGUUAUUCUCCCUAGUCGGUCCAUGUUGAUAGAAGUCUACAGUGAACAUGAAAAACCUCC